rnacentral:rRNA from 1 species
GGGUUACCCGCUGAGUUUAAGCAUAUCA